rnacentral:rRNA from 1 species
AUUGAACGCUGGCGGCAGGCCUAACACAUGCAAGUCGAGCGGAUGAGUGGAGCUUGCUCCAUGAUUCAGCGGCGGACGGGUGAGUAAUGCCUAGGAAUCUGCCUGGUAGUGGGGGACAACGUUUCGAAAGGAACGCUAAUACCGCAUACGUCCUACGGGGGAAAGUGGGGGAUCUUCGGACCUCACGCUAUCAGAUGAGCCUAGGUCGGAUUAGCUAGUUGGUGAGGUAAAGGCUCACCAAGGCGACGAUCCGUAACUGGUCUGAGAGGAUGAUCAGUCACACUGGAACUGAGACACGGUCCAGACUCCUACGGGAGGCAGCAGUGGGGAAUAUUGGACAAUGGGCGAAAGCCUGAUCCAGCCAUGCCGCGUGUGUGAAGAAGGUCUUCGGAUUGUAAAGCACUUUAAGUUGGGAGGAAGGGCAGUAAGUUAAUACCUUGCUGUUUUGACGUUACCAACAGAAUAAGCACCGGCUAACUUCGUG